AUUAGUGGCGGACGGGUGAGUAACACGUGGGAACGUUCCUUUUGGUUCGGAACAACUCAGGGAAACUUGAGCUAAUACCGGAUAAGCCUUUCGAGGGAAAGAUUUAUCGCCAUUAGAGCGGCCCGCGUAGGAUUAGCUAGUUGGUGGGGUAAAGGCCCACCAAGGCUACGAUCCUUAGCUGGUCUGAGAGGAUGAUCAGCCACAUUGGGACUGAGACACGACCCAAACUCCUACGGGAGGCAGCAGUGGGGAAUCUUGCGCAAUGGGCGAAAGCCUGACGCAGCCAUGCCGCGUGAAUGAUGAAGGUCUUAGGAUUGUAAAAUUCUUUCACCGGGGACGAUAAUGACGGUACCCGGAGAAGAAGCCCCGGCUAACUUCGUGCCAGCAGCCGCGGUAAUACGAAGGGGGCUAGCGUUGCUCGGAAUUACUGGGCGUAAAGGGAGCGUAGGCGGAUAGUUUAGUCAGAGGUGAAAGCCCAGGGCUCAACCUUGGAAUUGCCUUUGAUACUGGCUAUCUUGAGUACGGAAGAGGUAUGUGGAACUCCGAGUGUAGAGGUGAAAUUCGUAGAUAUUCGGAAGAACACCAGUGGCGAAGGCGACAUACUGGUCCGUUACUGACGCUGAGGCUCGAAAGCGUGGGGAGCAAACAGGAUUAGAUACCCUGGUAGUCCACGCUGUAAACGAUGAGUGCUAGUUGUCGGCAGGCAUGCCUGUCGGUGACGCAGCUAACGCAUUAAGCACUCCGCCUGGGGAGUACGGUC
rnacentral:rRNA from 1 species